UACGGAGGGUGCGAGCGUUAAUCGGAAUUACUGGGCGUAAAGCGCACGUAGGUGGCGACGUAAGUCGGGUGUGAAAGCCCCGGGCUCAACCUGGGAAUUGCAUUCGAGACUGCAUUGCUGGAGUACGGAAGAGGAAGGCGGAAUUCCCGGUGUAGCGGUGAAAUGCGUAGAUAUCGGGAGGAACAUCAGUGGCGAAGGCGGCCUUCUGGUCCAGUACUGACACUCAAGUGCGAAAGCGUGGGGAGCAAGCAGG
rnacentral:rRNA from 1 species